rnacentral:rRNA from 1 species
AUGAAGAACUUGAAAGACGCUAAAACCAAGAUCUAUCCCUCAACUACGAGGGGAGGUAAGGAACUGCCAUCUAGCUCUGCACUAGAUUCUCCUUCUGUUAUGAGUAAGUUUGCGACACCUAAACCUGAUACUCCUAUGAAUUCUGAUAUGUCGCAUGUUAUUGAUGAUGCCACUUCUGCUAUGCAUGAUGAAACUACUUCUGUGCGUGAUACUACUUUGCCAUUAGGUGAAUUUCUUGAUGAACAACUUGCUAGAGUUAGGGGGAAUGAUAUUACUGAAGAUCCUAUUACUGAUGAUAGUGAUGAUGAACGUUCCCCCAAUGAUUAUGUAUUACCUGUUGUUCCUAAGGGUUAUGUUAUGAAUGAAAAGGCUGCUAUAGAAAUUCUUGCUUGCAAUGAUAGAAAUGAUCUUAAGAAAUUAUUAGCUAAAUGGAAGCAGCAGUCUCUUAAUGCUAGAAUGAAACCCGAUCCUGCUUUUGCUACUUCACCUAUCUGUGUUACUGAUAAGGAUUAUGAAUUCUCUGUUGAUCCUGAUAUUAUUACUUUAGUUGAAUCUGAUCCUUUUUAUGGCCUUGAAUCUAAAACUGUUGUGGCACAUCUUACCAAGUUGAAUGAUAUAGCCACCCUGUUUACUAAUGAUGAGAAGUCUCGCUAUUUAUAUAUUCUUAAGAUAUUCUCGUUCUCAUUAAAGGGUGAUGCUAAGACUUGGUAUAAUUCUCUUGCUCCUGGUUGUGUGCGUAGUCCCCAGGAUAUGAUUUAUUACUUCUCUGCUAAAUAUUUCCCUGCUCAUAAGAAACAAGCUGCCUUGCGGGAAAUAUAUAAUUUUGUGCAAAUCAAAGAAGAGAGUCUCCCACAAGCUUGGGGGAGGCUUCUCCGGUUACUUAAUGCUUUGCCUGAUCAUCCUCUUAAGAAAAAUGAAAUACUUGAUAUCUUUUAUAAUGGACUAACCGAUGCUUCCAAGGACUACUUGGAUAGUUGUGCUGGUUGUGUUUUCAGGGAAAGAACAGUCGAUGAAGCUGAAAUAUUAUUGAAUAAUAUGUUGACUAAUGAAAAUAAUUGGACUCUUCCUGAGCCAGUUCUUGAAGUAAUUCCUGAACCAAUUGAGCCAACUCCUGAGCCUAUUCCUAAACCCACUCCAAAGAAGAGAGGUGUUUUAUUUCUCAGUCCAGAAGAUAUGCAAGAGGCAAAGAAAUCAAUGAAAGAAAAGGGUAUUAAAGCCGAAGAUGUUAAGAAUUUACCUCCUAUUGAAGAAAUACAUGGUCUUAAUUUACCGCCUGAAGAACCAGAUUGUCUUGAUAACCCUACACAGGUAGUAAAGGUAAAUUCUCUCUAUAGAUAUGAUAAAGUUGAAAUACCCUCUACUAAAUUUCAUAGCCCAUGCUUAGAUGAAUUUGAUGACUUUAUGGCUAGACAAGAAAGUUUUAAUGCUUAUGUUGGUAGAGAGUUAAAGAAUAAUGCUUUCGAGAUAGGACGCGUAGGUGAUAAUCUGGCUAGAGUUAAAGAAGAACUUCACCGUGUUAGCAAAUAUGCUUCUAUGGUUGCUACUCAAGCUGAGCAAGUACUUAAAGCUCAAAAUGAUCUUCUUGAUGAAUUAAAUAAUAAAAAUGACUUUGCUGUUAGAGUGGCUACUAGAACUGGUAGAAUGACUCAGGAACCUUUGUAUCCUGAAGGCCACCCUAAGAGAAUCGAGCAAGAUUCUCACAGAAAUAAUUUAGAGGCACCUAGUUCUUUCUAA